GACGAACGCUGGCGGCGUGCUUAACACAUGCAAGUCGAACGGAAAGGCCCUGCUUUUGUGGGGUGCUCGAGUGGCGAACGGGUGAGUAACACGUGAGUAACCUGCCCUUGACUUUGGGAUAACUUCAGGAAACUGGGGCUAAUACCGGAUAGGAGCGCCUGCUGCAUGGUGGGGGUUGGAAAGUUUCGGCGGUUGGGGAUGGACUCGCGGCUUAUCAGCUUGUUGGUGGGGUAGUGGCUUACCAAGGCUUUGACGGGUAGCCGGCCUGAGAGGGUGACCGGCCACAUUGGGACUGAGAGACGGCCCAGACUCCUACGGGAGGCAGCGGUGGGGAAUAUUGCACAAUGGGCGGAAGCCUGAUGCAGCAACGCCGCGUGCGGGAUGACGGCCUUCGGGUUGUAAACCGCUUUCGCCUGUGACGAAGCGUGAGUGACGGUAAUGGGUAAAGAAGCACCGGCUAACUACGUG
rnacentral:rRNA from 1 species